rnacentral:lncRNA from 10 species
GGUUGGUGGGAGUAAGAUGGGAGCUGGAGCAGCUGCUAUUUAAGAGGUGGUGGUGGUAGUGCUGGUUCUGUAGUUAGGCUGCUCCGUCCUGCUGGGGCUUGGUCUUGUUUGCUGAAGGGGCAGCAGGACUCUACCAUGGAGGGUGUAGGGGGUCUCUGGCCUUGGGUGCUGGGUCUGCUCUCCUUGCCAGGUAUGAUCCUAGGAGCGCCCCUGGCCUCCAGCUGCCCAGGAGCCUGUGGUACCAGCUUCCCAGAUGGCCUCACCCCUGAGGGAACCCAGGCCUCCUGGGACAAGGACAUUCCUGCAAUUAACCAAGGGCUCAUCCCGGAAGAAACCCCAGAAAGCAGCUUCCUCAUCGAGGGGGACAUCGUCCGGCCGGUGAGUGCACACUCUGAUGUGUGUGGGUGCGGAUCAGCCCACAGCUGGUGACAGGCCCUCGGAGCCCACCCUGGGUGACGUGGGGCCUGAUGUGGGAGGGACAUACACAGAGUGGUAGCUGCCUCUGUUUGUCAAGGUCAGAGCGACUCUUCUGUUAGG